UACAGAGGUCCCGAGCGUUGUUCGGAUUCACUGGGCGUAAAGGGUAGGUAGGUGGUCUCAUUUGUCAGGGGUGAAAGCCUUGGGCUUAACUCAAGAAGUGCCCCUGAAACGGUGAGACUAGAGUGCUGGAGAGGGUCGUGGAAUUCCCGGUGUAGCGGUGAAAUGCGUAGAGAUCGGGAGGAACACCAGAGGCGAAGGCGGCGACCUGGACAGCUACUGACACUCAACUACGAAAGCGUGGGGAGCAAACAGG
rnacentral:rRNA from 1 species